rnacentral:misc_RNA from 1 species
AUAACAAGGUUUCCGUAGGUGAACCUGCGGAAGGAUCAUUACCGAGUGCGGGAACCCAGUCGGGUCCCAAUCUCCCACCCGUGUCUACCACACCUAGUGUUGCUUUGGCGGGCCCACUCCUCCGGUGUUCCGCCGGGGGGGUCGUCCCGGGGCGCGGUGUGCCCCCGGGGCCCGUGCCCGCCAGAGGCACUCACUGUGAACGCUUUUGUGAAUGCGAGGAUUGUCUGAGUGACGAAAUGCAAUCGUUCAAAACUUUCAACAAUGGAUCUCUUGGUUCCGGCAUCGAUGAAGAACGCAGCGAAAUGCGAUAAGUAAUGUGAAUUGCAGAAUUCCGUGAAUCAUCGAAUCUUUGAACGCACAUUGCGCCCUCUGGUAUUCCGGGGGGCAUGCCUGUCCGAGCGUCAUUGCGAACCCUCAAGCACGGCUUGUGUGUUGGGCCGCCGUCCCCUCGUUUGGAGGGGACGGGCCUGAAAGGCAGCGGCGGCGUCGCGUCCGGUCCUCGAGCGUAUGGGGCUCUGUCACGCGCUCAAGGAGGGGUCCGGCCGGGGCCAUAGCCUCUGAAGGUCAAUUCUUCCAAGGUUGACCUCGGAUCAGGUAGGAGUACCCGCUGAACCUAAGCAUAUCA